rnacentral:rRNA from 1 species
UACGUAGGGUGCAAGCGUUGUCCGGAAUUAUUGGGCGUAAAGAGCUCGUAGGCGGUUCGUCGCGUCGGCUGUGAAAACCCGGAGCUCAACUCCGGGCCUGCAGUCGAUACGGGCGGACUUGAGUGUUGCAGGGGAGACUGGAAUUCCUGGUGUAGCGGUGAAAUGCGCAGAUAUCAGGAGGAACACCGGUGGCGAAGGCGGGUCUCUGGGCAACUACUGACGCUGAGGAGCGAAAGCAUGGGGAGCGAACAGG